GGCAGCAGCGGUUCGUUGGCUGGUGUGGCCAUAUAACCUACUUGUAAGCCAAGUUCUUGUCUGCGGGCCUCUGCCUGGCCCUAAAUAUGUGUUCUCGAAUCUUAGUGACCAAGUGAUCGCCAAGGCCGCAUCAGACAAGGGUGGGGUGUCGGUGCCUUUGUCUACAACGGAAGAUGGCGACGGGCAGGGUGUGAGAAAAUGGCCGCCAGGAUCACAUGUUUUGCUGAGUAUACCCACCUGAAAUGACUAGGAGAAUGAACUCCCUGAGACUAGGGGCCAUAUAUCUUCGUGCCCUCAGCAGGACCCAGCACAAGACUGGUACAAGGCACGCUUCAGCAAAUGUUUGUUAAAUGGUUCCCAGGUGGUGGUGGUGAUGAUGAUGAUGAUGAUGAAGAAGAAGAAGAUGAUGAUGAUGAUGAUGAAGCUGCUGCUGCUGCUAGUCCAGGUGCAAAAAAUCAAAUUCCAGUCUGCCUGCCUCCAAGGCCUACAUGUCUGACCACCAUGCCACACUGCUCCAGUGAAGACUCACUCACAGACUGAUGGAAGACUGCUGAACCAAGAAAAAUGAUCUUAUCUCAUGCUUCAGUGACAAAAUAAAAGCCAUCAGACAUGGGAGAAUUGUUCCAGGACCUUCAUCUUCCCACCACUGAAUCCCUAAACCUCCCAGUAUCUGUGUUCAUCUUUUGUUUCAUUCCUUCCUGUUACAAUGAAGGGCCUGAGGACCUCUCCUUCUCUCUGAGGCCCAGUGCCCCAGACCCCAGCCCCUCCUUUCCCUUCCAUUAUUCCCUUUCUCUUCUGUGUUCCCGUCCGGUCCCUCUCUAUGGUCUCUGGGUCUUUCCCAGCAGCAAACAAGCAUAGUCUAGUAUCUCCCAUCUUAGAAAAAUCAUUCUUUGCCCCUCUUCCUACCAUCACCUUAGCUCUCUGGGCUCUGUUCCCAUUCACAGCCAUGUUUCACAAGGAAAUUGCCUACACACCUAGCUCCACUUUAGCAGGAUAGGGGGCAGUGUUUUAUUCCCUCUGACCUCAGGGAGGGUCCUGUAACAAUCUACCCUCCCACCAGCACUCUAUCCAAUUAUUCCUGCUUUUCAAAUUUUAUUUAUUUUUCAUGAUAAUACAUUAUAAAUUUUAUAAUAUACAUAUCUGUACAGUUUGAAUAAAUUAUAAAACAAAUACCUAUGUACCUGUACCCAUCACCCAGCUUCAAAAACAAAUCAUUUCUGAAUGACAAAACCCGCCAUGUAGCCCUCCCCAGUCACAUCUCCUUCCCCUCCCUGAGGUAACCAGUGUCAUUUUUCAUGCCUUGCUUUUUUGUAUGGUUUUACAACAUAUUACUGCAUCCAUAUAUUGUAUAAUUUUGAAUGUUCAACUUUAUAUAAACAAACAUAUUCUUUCAUGACUUUUUUGAAUCAGUAUUAGGUUUCCUGAGUUUUAUCCAUGUUGAUACAUGUAGCUGGAGUUCAUUCAUUUAUUUAAUUAUAAUAUUCCAUUGUAUAAAUAUGUCUCAAUUUAUUCAUCUUAUUUUCUUGUUUCUGUUUCUUGCUGUUUCAAACAGGCUUUGGUGAACACUCUUGUAGUGUCUCCCAGUACACACAUGUGAGGAUUUCUCUAGGGGAGCGAUUCUCAAACUUUCUGGUCUCAGGACUUCCUUUACAUUCUUAAAAAUCACUGCAGACCCUAAAAAGCUUUGGCGUAUGUGGGUUAUACCAACUGAUACUUGCUGUAUUAGAAAUUAAAACUGAGAAAGCUUAAAUAUAUUA